AUCUUCGAUUCGUCGCGGGUUUUAGAAGUGGAGGAAGCAGCUAGCUUUUUCGACCAAUCCGCGCUAACAGUUAGACGAUGCUGUGAUACUGUGUAAAUUUCAAUGCAGUAUUGAAAGUGGCAUCGUUAGGACGUAUGACGCAAUAUCACUCACAAGAUCAAACUAAUUUCCUCGAAUCCAAGAAUUAUAUAAUAUUGUACUUUGCUAUGAAAUAAGCUCAUCAAACGGUUCUGGCCCUUGUAUAGAAUAUUUUAUCCAACAAAAAGCGAGAUAUUAAAAGUUCCUUAUGAUCCCCUGACCUACAGUUCGACGAACGAUACUAUAAACAGUGUAUAAAAACAUCUAUCUGCUUGAAAUUUGUCCUUGACCGAGAAGCAUUCGCUGCCUCUCUGCCCGCCUGCACCCGUCCAGAUGUUAAUUGUUCGGAACAGUUUUGCUAACUCUCAGUGCUGGGUAGCAUUGUGCCACUGGAAAUCAUGACAUGUGAUUCGUCAACCAUAAGGACCUUUACGAAAAUCUCCGUGCUAUCGCGGGCUUUGGAAAUGGCGGGAAGAGCUAGGUCUCUCGGAAAAUCCGCUGACAACUAGGCGAAGCCAUGAUAUGGUGGGGUCAUUCUCCUUUUGUACGUCACGGCAACUGGACGUGAGAUCGAAUUCAGAUUGAUUCCAAGGAUCACGUAGAACGUAUUAAACGCACCAACGGUCGUAUUGGAGGAUGAGCAGCAGACACCGCGAUGGUUUGUAACCAAAGUCGUGAAAUCUAUGUCGGAAUUUGGUAGUGGCGAACAUUAAUUAUGUUACGAAGAUAGACUCAAUAUUAAUCUCUGAUGACUGGAAUGGCCUGAUAGCAUAAGAGUUUCAAAGAAGGAACGGCAUAUUGACAAGUGGCCGACUUUACAGCUUUUCAUUGAAAGCUGGUAAUUCCUAACGUAUUAUCAUACAAUAAACGUAUUAUAUUUUUGAUGUGUCAUUCUUGAUAUUUAAUACAAAAUUUGCAAACAUUACAUAAUUUCUUAGGAUCUUUUCGAUAAAACUGGAAAGAAGUUAAAUUGUUAAAUAUUCGUGC